UCUUCUUUUAUUUUUUCUCUUCCCUUUAGUGUUAUAACAUUUUUAUAUUAUUUGAUAACUCAAUAAUUAAUUUCAAAUUAAGAAUCAAUCAGUAGUAGAGUAGAAAUUUUGAUUUGAGGGCACUACAUCAACAAUGCUACUACACGUACAGCAUUUGACUCACAACAUUGUUCACAGCGCUAAUGUGAAAAAUGGGCAAGAAAAAAAACCAAAAAGUCAGAGUAAAAUUAUGAAAGAAGCCAAAAACGGGUCAUUUGUCUUCGAUUCAAGGACCCUGUUGAAAACCUAACCCUCCUAACUAUCGUCGUUGCGAAGUCUCUCUGAAGGAAUUUCCCAGCGAUCGUCGAAGCACCUCCGAUCGGUAAAACAGUAUCACCAUUCCUUGAUAUCUCUGCCCAGGUUCCCAUUAAAAGCUACACCCCUCCAACUGCAGCGAAUCUUGAGUCGACCACUGACCGACGUCCAGCUCCCAAAUAACCAGUACCACCAUCGUCACAACCCCUCUGUCGGCAAUAGACAACCUCUGAACUACCUCCUUUGUGUUGGGUAAGUAAAAAGAGGGCAAAUAUGUGAUUUUUUGUUGUUAUGUAUUUCUUCCUCUGUUGUUGAAAAUUGGUUCGAUUUAGCCUCCUUCAUCUCGAAACAUUUGAUUUGCUUUAGCCUUUUCUGUGAGUGAGAUUAUGUGGUGUUUUAUUGUUAUACAUGAAUUCCAAAUAUGUGUGAAUGAAGAUGGGUGAAGAGCUACAAUUGUAAAAUUCGUUCUGGGCAGUCGAAAAUGUGGCAAGAAGAUGAUCUUUUUGUUUCUUCAAAUUACGAGUAAAUUUAACCAAUAAUCACUAAACUUUACCCUUGAUUACUACUUGCUCACUCAUCUUUUCUUAUAAUUACUCAUUCACCACUCGUUUUUUAAAAUAAUUGGACGACUUUUAUGGCAAAUUUUCGAUAACUUCCGACCACAAAAAAUGUCGAAUUUUGAUACCGUUGGAAAGCCCACGAUAUCUUCUUCAAUUACCCACCAAAAUCUCAUUAUAACUCCAAGGGAUUCGAUCGGAAAAUUGCCUUAAAACUCGCCCAAAAAAUCUGAAAAUCUGGGCAGAUUUUCAGAAUUUUUGGGCGACUUUUAAGGUAAUUUUUCGGCAACUUUCGACCAUCAAAACUAUCUAAUUUUGAUACCAUUGGAAAGCCCACAACGUCCUCUUCAAUUACCACCCAAAUUUUCCCGAUAACUCCAAAUGAUUCGGCCGGAAUAAACCCACAAAGUCAGCAUCCCGAACUUUGUCCAAAUUUUCACCUUUUCGAGAUGUUGAAAAGGUGAGUUUAGUGAUUAUUGGUUAAGUUUAGUAACUAGUGAUUAUUGGCAGUCGAAAAUGUGGCAAGAAGAUGAUCUUUUUGUUUCUUCAAAUUACACAUGUAAAACUUAGGUGUUGCUUUGAAUUGGUNNN
rnacentral:lncRNA from 1 species